GACGAACGCUGGCGGCGUGCCUAAUACAUGCAAGUAGAACGCUGAAGGAGGAGCUUGCUUCUCCGGAUGAGUUGCGAACGGGUGAGUAACGCGUAGGUAACCUGCCUGGUAGCGGGGGAUAACUAUUGGAAACGAUAGCUAAUACCGCAUAACAGUAGAUAUUGCAUGAUAUCUGCUUGAAAGGUGCAAUUGCAUCACUACCAGAUGGACCUGGGUUGUAUUAGCUAGUUGGUGAGGUAACGGCUCACCAAGGCGACGAUACAUAGCCGACCUGAGAGGGUGAUCGGCCAAACUGGGAAUGAGACACGGCACAGACUCCUACGGGAGGCAGCAGGAAGGAAUCGUCGGCAAUGGACGGAAGGCUGACCGAGCAAAGCCGCGUGAGUGAAGAAGGUUUUCGGAACGUAAAGCUCGGUUGUAAGAGAAGAACGAGUGUGAGAGUGGAAAGUUCACACUGUGACGGUAUCUUACCAGAAAGGGACGGCUAACUACGUG
rnacentral:rRNA from 1 species